UAAUACCACGAAAACGACGCACCUGCAACAACUGUUGAUAAGAGGAACGGUAUAUAAGUGCCGAAAGUCUUCCACUGCUUCGUAAGUAUUCUUACAGCAAGAAGAUGACCAAAUUGGUUGUGCUCGCUCUACUUGUUGCCACUGCGCUAGUGGCCGUCUCGGCUGCUCCCGUGAAGCGGGACGUUGUUGGAUGCACAACCACAGCUGCUUGUCAUACCUUCUGCCACGACCAUCAGCACGAAGAUGAAGGGCAGUGCAUAAGCGGAGUUUGCAUCUGCAGGACCGGUUCCGAAUUUUCUGCUUACAUCUUUGGCUAACAAGCCAGGAAUGAGACUAAGACAACGUGAUGUCAGUGAUAUGUAAAUAUCAAAUAAAACUAUUAAAAUUCUA